GACGAACGCUGGCGGCGUGCUUAACACAUGCAAGUCGAACGGAAAGGCCCUUCGGGGUACUCGAGUGGCGAACGGGUGAGUAACACGUGGGUGAUCUGCCCUGCACUUUGGGAUAAGCCUGGGAAACUGGGUCUAAUACCGAAUAGGACCACGCGCUUCAUGGUGUGUGGUGGAAAGCUUUUGCGGUGUGGGAUGGGCCCGCGGCCUAUCAGCUUGUUGGUGGGGUAAUGGCCUACCAAGGCGACGACGGGUAGCCGGCCCGAGAGGGUGACCGGCCACACUGGGACUGAGAUACGGCCCAGACUCCUACGGGAGGCAGCAGUGGGGAAUAUUGCACAAUGGGCGCAAGCCUGAUGCAGCGACGCCGCGUGAGGGAUGACGGCCUUCGGGUUGUAAACCUCUUUCACCAGGGACGAAGCGUAAGUGACGGUACCUGGAGAAGAAGCACCGGCCAACUACGUG
rnacentral:rRNA from 1 species